AGAGCGAACGCUGGCGGCAGGCUUAACACAUGCAAGUCGAGCGCGUGUAGCAAUACACGAGCGGCAGACGGGAGAGUAACACGUGGGAACGCGCCCUUCGGUUCGGAAUAACUCAGGGAAACUUGAGCUAAUACCGGAUACGCCCUUACGGGGAAAGAUUUAUUGCCGAAGGAACGGCCCGCGUCCGAUUAGCUAGUUGGUGAGGUAACGGCUCACCAAGGCGACGAUCGGUAGCUGGUCUGAGAGGAUGACCAGCCUCACUGGGACUGAGACACGGCCCAGACUCCUACGGGAGGCAGCAGUGGGGAAUAUUGGACAAUGGGCGCAAGCCUGAUCCAGCCAUGCCGCGUGGAUGAUGAAGGCCUUAGGGUUGUAAAGUCCUUUUAACGGGGAAGAUAAUGACGGUACCCGUAGAAUAAGCCCCGGCUAACUUCGCGCCAGCAGCCGC
rnacentral:rRNA from 1 species